UACGGAGGGUGCGAGCGUUAAUCGGAAUUACUGGGCGUAAAGGGCGCGUAGGCGGUGGGUUACGUCUGCCGUGAAAUCCCCGGGCUCAACCUGGGAAUGGCGGUGGAAACGGGCUGACUGGAGUAUGGGAGAGGGUGAUGGAAUUCCAGGUGUAGCGGUGAAAUGCGUAGAGAUCUGGAGGAACAUCAGUGGCGAAGGCGGUCCCCUGGCCCAAUACUGACGCUGAGGAGCGAAAGCGUGGGGAGCAAACAGG
rnacentral:rRNA from 1 species